rnacentral:tRNA from 1 species
GGGCGAAUGGUUUAGUGGUAUAAUACUCCCUUAGCAUGAUUCAUCCGAAUAAAUUCGCGUUUGGGAGUGGUCCAGGGUUCGAUUCCCUGUUCGUCCA